GAGGUAUCGCAUUCCGCGACCACGUCCACGCGGGCAGCGCCGUCAAAGGUCAGUGGAUGACGGGUGCACCCGGCGGCGGCGCACGCGCCACGAGCGGCGUCGCGACGCCGACCUCCUCGACACAGCACACACCGAGGCGACGUCCGACGCGCGGGACAUCCCCUUUGGCCGGCUUGGUUGACUUCGCGAGUGACUCGCUCCGAGGAUGUGACUCGGAACACUUGUUGGAACUGUGCGAGGGUAUGAGAGUCGCGUCAGUGCUCCGUUUCCACUAAUCCUCGAGCCAGGGGCAUGAAAAAUGCGAUCCAGAAUCCAGCAGUGCGUCCUCCUCUUCGUUUCCGUUCACAUGGUCACCGGCCCAGCUUACUCAGCGCCGGCGGACUCGAACGAGAGCAGAACAGAAAACAUUCGAGAAAGUUCAAAUUUAAGAAAAACUGAACCCAGCCAAGAUAAAAGUUCGUGUCGAGUUGAAGGACACUGGUACCGCCACGGUCAGCAGAUCGUGAGGAAAGAUCCGUGUGACUUCUGCCUGUGUAUUGAUAGAGAAAUGUUUUGCUACUGGCAACCGGAGCUGUGUCUAUCACCGCCCCCUUUGACUAACGAGACCUCGGUUCGUCCAACUCAAGCACAAAACACCUCCAAAGCAAUAACACUGACGCCGCUGAGCGAGGAGAGCGGAACCGACGUGACGAGGGAGUCGUCCACGAUGAUAUCGGCCACGUUCAGCUCGGAGGAGAACCAAACGACAGAGCUGCCUCCGUCCACAGCUCAGAUUUCCACCGCUCAGCCGACAUCUUGUAUUGUUCUAGGUAAUUAA
rnacentral:lncRNA from 1 species